CUGAACAAGUCGCCACCUCAUUGCUGGGCCAACACAGAUUGACAGACCAGCAUCUUUGGAGGCCCGGGAGGCUAGCAGUCCCAGUCCCGUCAAGCCAUUCAUUCACGGGACCUGAGUUCGUGUUGACCCGGCAUGGGAUGUGCCAUAUCCCCCGCCAUCUGAGGUAGCAGGAGAGGCUCUGUCGUGAGGCCCACCUAACCCUCGCAGCCCCCCUCCGGAUCCAGCACUGCUUACACUGGGGAGGGCUUCAGCCCUAAUGGAGACAGAUGGCACCAAUGGAGAGACAUAUAAAAAGGGACAGCAAGGACAAUGACCUGUCAGGUACCCUGCUGAGCUGCUGGGGCGACAAAGGUCCAGGAGCAC